rnacentral:rRNA from 1 species
CUACGAGGGGCAGCAGUGAGGAAUAUUGCACAAUGGGGGGAACCCUGAUGCAGCAACGCCGCGUGGAGGAUGACGCAUUUCGGUGUGUAAACUCCUUUUAUAUGUCAAGAAAAUGACGGUAGCAUAUGAAUAAGCACCGGCUAACUCCGUGCCAGCAGCCGCGGUAAUACGGAGGGUGCAAGCGUUACUCGGAAUCACUGGGCGUAAAGGACGCGUAGGCGGGUUGGAAAGUCAGGUGUGAAAUCCUACAGCUUAACUGUAGAACUGCACUUGAAACUUCUAAUCUAGAGUAUGGGAGGGGGAGAUGGAAUUAGUGGUGUAGGGGUAAAAUCCGUAGAUAUCACUAGGAAUACCUAAAGCGAAGGCGAUCUCCUGGAACAUUACUGACGCUAAGGCGUGAAAGCGCGGGGAGCAAACCGGAUUAGAUACCCGCGUAGUC